CGACCAGGACCUAAGAAUAUGGCAGUCACUUCUGUUUAUACAAACUUCUCUCUCUCUCUUUCUCCAGCUAUCCUGGUCUACAGAGUAUUUCGUCAUGAGCCCAAGAAGAAUGUUAAGCUGCUCCAUGGCACAAUUCACCUGCUUGCCCUCAUCAUCAGUAUUGUAGGCUUUGUAGCUGUAUUCGACUUCCACAGAGCAG